UACGGAGGGUGCGAGCGUUAAUCGGAAUAACUGGGCGUAAAGGGCACGCAGGCGGGCUUUUAAGUGAGAUGUGAAAUCCCCGGGCUUAACCUGGGAAUAGCAUUUCAGACUGGGAGUCUAGAGUACUUUAGGGAGGGGUAGAAUUCCACGUGUAGCGGUGAAAUGCGUAGAGAUGUGGAGGAAUACCGAAGGCGAAGGCAGCUCACUGGGGUAUAACUGACGCUGAUGCACGAAGGUGUGGGUAUCAAACAGG
rnacentral:rRNA from 1 species